rnacentral:rRNA from 1 species
ACGCUCGACACCUACGGAGGCAGCAGUGGGGGAUAUUGCACAAUGGGGGAAACCCUGAUGCAGCAACGCCGCGUGAAGGAAGAAGGUCUUCGGAUUGUAAACUUCUGUCCUCAGGGAAGAUAAUGACGGUACCUGAGGAGGAAGCUCCGGCUAACUACGUGCAGCAGCCGCGGUAAUCUGGAGCGGGCUGGCAAGGC